CAAAAUAUAACAUUUCAUGCUACUAAUAUUAUUAAAUGAUUAAUAUAUUACUAAUUAUUAUUUAAAUGAAGAUGAAGAUAAAUGUAUAUAAAAAAUAUCUGGUAAAAUGUUCCAUCUAAUGACAUUUCAACCAAAUACACAAAAGGCCACAUUAAAAGUUAAAAUAGUUGUUUUUAACAAAUUACAACUCUAUGGACUUGCAUAGUGUAUUUCUAAGAGCUUUAGAAAUAUGUUUAACUUUUUUGUUCUUCUGUAGUAAAAGCUUUCAUGUGGAACAUCAAGGCUCGACAUUAAGCAUUGUGAUGUGCUUGUCCUUUGGACAAGUAAAUUGGUCAUUCACUUGUUCAAGUAAAAAAAAGUUACUCCAUAAAGAAAAAAGGACAUGUAUCGGUUACACGCUCAGGUAAUCACGUCAAAGUUUCGAUUGUAUGUUUUCUAAAAUUAUGACAGAUGGCCAACCUAAUAUUAUUAUACCUAUGCAAUCAACUAGAUUCUCUGGGACAGAAAUGUAAACUGCUCUGGGUAGAGGAGGUUAUUUUAUGUUACAUGUACACACAGUAGUGAAAUAAAGGAAAGCCUUCAUCACCAUCAUUUACAGCAAGGGUGCUCACACUUCUAUGGAAUAAGAUCUACUUUUCCAUCAUGUUACUGCAGCAAGAUCUACCAUACACAAUAUACAUGUUGUCAUAAUACCAAAAUUUCAGUAGUCUUUAGUGAAAUUUUAGGAUUUUUGAUACCAGCUUCAAUACCAAAACAAAUAAUAGGCUAACACUAACAAAUUUGUUAAUUAUAAAAUAAUUAAGUUAUUAUUCAAGAGUAGUAAACAGUCAGUAAUAAAACAACAAAAGAAAAGAAAUAUAUAUUUUUUUAAAACACUAUAGAAAAAAAAAAGCUGUGCUUUUUAACUGCUUUUAAAAAACAUUAACAGUAUCAAGUAUCAAUUAAACAUUCGGAAUGAAUUUGACAAAACUACUAUUAGUCUUUCCUAUAUGAAUAAUACGUUACUACUUUUAUACUAGAGUUAUACAAGUAAAGUUAGCCAGCCAAGAGCAGUGAAUGGUUUUGUCGUUUUCUUGUUAUUGUUGUUUAAUAUUAAGGAUACACUUCUCGGAGCACACUUGCAUGUAAAGCACGCCACACACACACACACAAACCUUCUGUCAGUCAAACAGUGCGCAGCUACUAGAUCGCAAGGGAAUGAUAAAAUUACGCGCUCUUGAUUUUUUCCAACAGCAGAGUAAGAAUAUAAAUGUUGCAAUAAGUGACACAGGCCUAUACUAUAUUACAAAUAUAGCCGGUUUUUUCAUUAUUGACAUUUUAAUCAGGCUACUUGUCCAGUCAGGCAACUAAAAUUCUCUUUCACUUGCCCCUUUAAAAAUCCACUUGACCCGGACGGUUAAUGUUGAGCCCUGGAACAACAUUAUUUGAUAGGUACCAAUUAACGUUAAUGAUUACCAAUAUGCUCUUGAAAUACCUUUAAAAGUUUUAUUUCUUUGAAAUGAAUGUUUUUCAUCAUUUACUCACCCGUAUGUUAUUCCAAACCUUUACGACUUCCACAGAAGACAGCACAUCAUAAGGUGUUGAACAACACGAGGAUGAGUAAAUGAAGACAUUUUUCAAUUUGGUCCUGCUCACCUCCAUAUCCUCUUCAUCCUCCUCUUCCUCAUCUGAGGGAUCCAUGCAUACUGGCAUCUUUAGUCUCUGCUCAAGACUGUCUUUCAUCGAAAUAUCUGCCAGCUCCAUUGCCUUACGGAUCACAGGAUUACCGCUGAAGAACACACCGCCUGAUUUGGCAUCUGCACUAUCAGAGCCUUGAAAGAACAACAAAAUAUAUUUAAAGCCUCGUGUUGGUGGCUCAUCAAAGAAGUGAACAUGAAGUCUCUGGUCUCGACCACGGCCCCUCAUCUGCUGUCCGCUCAGAGGUUGAGGAACAACCAUACAGGGCCACCAGGGAUGCCCUUCCAUCUUGGCCCAUACCAAAGUACC